GCGCAGCAGGCGCGAAUCCUCCGCAAUACACGAAAGUGUGACGGGGUUACCCAAAGUGUCCAAAUUUGGACUGUGGUAGGUGAGUAAUGUCCCCUACUAGAAAGGAGAGGGCAAGGCUGGUGCCAGCCACCGCGGUAAAACCAGCUCUUCAAGUGGUCGGGAUAAUUAUUGGGCUUAAAGUGUCCGUAGCCGGUUUAGUAAGUUCCUGGUAAAAUCGGGUAGCUUAACUAUCUGUAUGCUAGGAAUACUGCUAUACUAGAGGGCGGGAGAGGUCUGAGGUACUACAGGGGUAGGGGUGAAAUCCUGUAAUCCUUGUAGGACCACCAGUGGCGAAGGCGUCAGACUGGAACGCGCCUGACGGUGAGGGACGAAAGCCAGGGGAGCGAACCGGAUUAGAUACCCCCGUAGU
rnacentral:rRNA from 1 species